rnacentral:rRNA from 1 species
UACGAAGGGGGCGAGCGUUGUUCGGAUUUACUGGGCGUAAAGGGCGCGCAGGCGGUCUCGCAAGUCCGAUGUGAAAUCCCCGGGCUCAACCUGGGAACUGCGUUGGAAACUACGAGGCUGGAGUACGGCAGAGGGGGGUGGAAUUCCACGUGUAGCAGUGAAAUGCGUAGAUAUGUGGAGGAACACCGAUGGCGAAGGCAGCCCCCUGGGCUAGUACUGACGCUCAUGCACGAAAGCGUGGGGAGCAAACAGG